ACGCUGGCGGCAGGCCUAACACAUGCAAGUCGAGCGGUAGAGAGAAGCUUGCUUCUCUUGAGAGCGGCGGACGGGUGAGUAAUGCCUAGGAAUCUGCCUGGUAGUGGGGGAUAACGUUCGGAAACGGACGCUAAUACCGCAUACGUCCUACGGGAGAAAGCAGGGGACCUUCGGGCCUUGCGCUAUCAGAUGAGCCUAGGUCGGAUUAGCUAGUUGGUGAGGUAAUGGCUCACCAAGGCGACGAUCCGUAACUGGUCUGAGAGGAUGAUCAGUCACACUGGAACUGAGACACGGUCCAGACUCCUACGGGAGGCAGCAGUGGGGAAUAUUGGACAAUGGGCGAAAGCCUGAUCCAGCCAUGCCGCGUGUGUGAAGAAGGUCUUCGGAUUGUAAAGCACUUUAAGUUGGGAGGAAGGGCAGUUACCUAAUACGUGAUUGUUUUGACGUUACCGACAGAAUAAGCACCGGCUAACUCUGUGCCAGCAGCCGCGGUAAUACAGAGGGUGCAAGCGUUAAUCGGAAUUACUGGGCGUAAAGCGCGCGUAGGUGGUUAGUUAAGUUGGAUGUGAAAUCCCCGGGCUCAACCUGGGAACUGCAUUCAAAACUGACUGACUAGAGUAUGGUAGAGGGUGGUGGAAUUUCCUGUGUAGCGGUGAAAUGCGUAGAUAUAGGAAGGAACACCAGUGGCGAAGGCGACCACCUGGACUGAUACUGACACUGAGGUGCGAAAGCGUGGGGAGCAAAC
rnacentral:rRNA from 1 species